GACGAACGCUGGCGGCGUGCUUAACACAUGCAAGUCGAACGGAAAGGCCCCUUUGGGGGUACUCGAGUGGCGAGCGGGUGAGUAACACGUGAGUAACCUGCCCUUGACUUCGGGAUAACUUCAGGAAACUGGGGCUAAUACCGGAUAGGAAUCCUUGCUGCAUGGUGGGGGUUGGAAAGCUUCGGCGGUUUUGGAUGGACUCGCGGCUUAUCAGCUUGUUGGUGGGGUAGUGGCUUACCAAGGCUUUGACGGGUAGCCGGCCUGAGAGGGCGACCGGCCACAUUGGGACUGAGAUACGGCCCAGACUCCUACGGGAGGCAGCAGUGGGGAAUAUUGCACAAUGGGCGGAAGCCUGAUGCAGCAACGCCGCGUGCGGGAUGACGGCCUUCGGGUUGUAAACCGCUUUCAGCAGGGGCGAAGCUUGUGGUGACGGUACCUGCAGAAGAAGCACCGGCUAACUACGUG
rnacentral:rRNA from 1 species